GACGAACGCUGGCGGCGUGCCUAAUACAUGCAAGUAGGACGCACAGUUUAUACCGUAGCUUGCUACACCAUAGACUGUGAGUUGCGAACGGGUGAGUAACGCGUAGGUAACCUGCCUAUUAGAGGGGGAUAACUAUUGGAAACGAUAGCUAAUACCGCAUAACAGUAUGUAACACAUGUUAGAUGCUUGAAAGAUGCAAUUGCAUCGCUAGUAGAUGGACCUGCGUUGUAUUAGCUAGUAGGUAGGGUAAUGGCCUACCUAGGCGACGAUACAUAGCCGACCUGAGAGGGUGAUCGGCCACACUGGGACUGAGACACGGCCCAGACUCCUACGGGAGGCAGCAGUAGGGAAUCUUCGGCAAUGGGGGGAACCCUGACCGAGCAACGCCGCGUGAGUGAAGAAGGUUUUCGGAUCGUAAGGCUCUGUUGUUAAGGAAGAACGAGUGUGAGAAUGGAAAGUUCAUACUGUGACG
rnacentral:rRNA from 1 species